rnacentral:rRNA from 1 species
AACGAACGCUGGCGGCAUGCCUAACACAUGCAAGUCGAACGAGACCUUCGGGUCUAGUGGCGCACGGGUGCGUAACGCGUGGGAACCUGCCUUUAGGUUUGGGAUAACAGUGAGAAAUUGCUGCUAAUACCAAAUAAUGUCUUCGGACCAAAGAUUUAUCGCCUUUAGAUGGGCCCGCGUAGGAUUAGCUAGUUGGUGAGGUAAUGGCUCACCAAGGCGACGAUCCUUAGCUGGUCUUAGAGGAUGACCAGCCACACUGGGACUGAGACACGGCCCAGACUCCUACGGGAGGCAGCAGUGGGGAAUAUUGGACAAUGGGCGAAAGCCUGAUCCAGCAAUGCCGCGUGAGUGAUGAAGGCCUUAGGGUUGUAAAGCUCUUUUACCAGGGAUGAUAAUGACAGUACCUGGAGAAUAAGCUCCGGCUAACUCCGUG